GAUGAACGCUGGCGGCGUGCCUAAUACAUGCAAGUCGAGCGAACAGACGAGGAGCUUGCUCCUCUGACGUUAUCGGCGGACGGGUGAGUAACACGUGGAUAACCUACCUAUAAGACUGGGAUAACUUCGGGAAACCGGAGCUAAUACCGGAUAAUAUAUUGAACCGCAUGGUUCAAUAGUGAAAGACGGUUUUGCUGUCACUUAUAGAUGGAUCCGCGCCGCAUUAGCUAGUUGGUAAGGUAACGGCUUACCAAGGCAACGAUGCGUAGCCGACCUGAGAGGGUGAUCGGCCACACUGGAACUGAGAAACGGCCCAGACUCCGACGGGAGGCAGCAGUAGGGAAUCUUCCGCAAUGGGCGAAAGCCUGACGGAGCAACGCCGCGUGAGUGAUGAAGGUCUUCGGAUCGUAAAACUCUGUUAUUAGGGAAGAACAAAUGUGUAAGUAACUAUGCACGUCUUGACGGUACCUAAACAGAAAGCCACGGCUAACUACGUG
rnacentral:rRNA from 1 species